rnacentral:rRNA from 1 species
GACGAGCUCUCCAAACGUUAUUCGGUAUCACUGGGCUUAAAGAGUUCGUAGGCGGCUUUGUAGGUGGGGUGUGAAAGCCCUCGGCUUAACCGAGGAACUGCGCCCCAAACCACAGGGCUUGAGGGAGAUAGGGGUAAGCGGAACAGAUGGUGGAGCGGUGAAAUGCAUUGAUAUCAUCUGGAACACCGGUGGCGAAGGCGGCUUACUGGAUCUUUUCUGACGCUGAGGAACGAAAGCUAGGGUAGCGAACGGG